rnacentral:rRNA from 1 species
GGGGACAACCCGCCGAAAGGCGGGCUAAACCCGCGUACAUGCCACCGGGGCAUCCCGGAGGCAGGAAAGGCUUCGGCCGGACAGGGAUGGGCAUGCGGCGCAUUAGGCAGUAGGCGGGGUAACGGCCCACCCAACCGACGAUGCGUAGGGGUUCUGAGAGGAAGGUCCCCCACACUGGUACUGAGACACGGACCAGACUCCUACGGGAGGCAGCAGUGAGGAAUAUUGGUCAAUGGUCGGGAGACUGAACCAGCCAAGCCGCGUGAGGGAUGAAGGUACAGAGUAUCGUAAACCUCUUUUGUCAGGGAACAAAGGCGGGGACGUGUCCCCGGAUGAGUGUACCUGAAGAAAAAGCAUCGGCUAACUCCGUGCCAGCAGCCGCGGUAAUACGGAGGAUGCGAGCGUUAUCCGGAUUUAUUGGGUUUAAAGGGUGCGCAGGCGGUCUGUUAAGUCAGCGGUCAAAGCCCGGGGCUCAACCCCGGCCCGCCGUUGAAACUGGCAGUCUCGAGUUGGAGAGAAGUAUGCGGAAUGCGCGGUGUAGCGGUGAAAUGCAUAGAUAUCGCGCAGAACUCCGAUUGCGAAGGCAGCAUGCCGGCUCCACACUGACGCUGAGGCACGAAAGCGUGGGUAUCGAACAGGAUUAGAUACCCUGGUAGUCCACGCAGUAAACGAUCAA